rnacentral:lncRNA from 1 species
AAUAAAUAAAUAAAUAAAUAAAUAAACGCAUCAUCAUCAACUAAAAAAAACGCAUCAUUCAUAGAUAUCAGAAAAACACAAACCCUUAUUCUCAAACUCUUUUUCACGCAAAAUCCUCUCUCACUGCAAACUCAAUCUUCACUAUAAACCCUUCUCUCACUGCAAAUCCUUCUUCACUGCAAAUCUCUUCGUCAAACACUUCUCACGAACCCAGAAAUCUCUUCGUCGAGUCCUUCACAUAAAACCCAGAAUUCGUACUGUUCUCACCAACCCUUCAUUGCAAAUUUGAUACCCUAAAUUUCUGGAAGGUGCUACUCAUUCAUAUGUAUGUAAUUUGUAAACCCUAACUUUUUUUUGUUUUGUUGUGAUAUUUCAAUUUCAAUUUCUGUUUCUGUUGCUAUUUCUGUUUUAUUAUCAUUUUCCUGCAAUGCUAUCUGGUAUCUGCUACUUCACAUAGCAGAUUUUUUGACCCCAACGGUCAACACUAUCCAUCUGCAAAUCAUUCUGCUAUUGAUAUCACUGUUAUCAUCACAGUUUGCCUAUAAUUCAACUGUGAUGUUUGGUAAUUGGCUCUUGUAGUUAGUUAGUUCACAAGAAAGGGAUUGGGGCCUUUAGUUUACCCUCCUCACACUUCACCAAAAUAAGAAGUCUGUUAUCACAUUGUGAAUUAUAAGUUUCUAAGUUUCCAUUAAUUACUAUCAUUAGGAAGAUGUACUACUAAAUUUUUUGCCUUGGUUGUAUUGGCCAUAUUUAGAAUGAAUGUCUUUUUAAAAUUACAUAAUGUCUUUAUUUCUGCCACUUGCAAUAUAUCAUGCUCCUCAACUUGUUGGAAUUACAACCUCGAAUCUCAAAGUCAGUGAUAAGUUGAAAAUUCAUUACCUUGGUAAAUUAUCACCUUCAAAUUCUCUAUAUGCAUAUUUAUUUUGUAGCAUAGUUUAUUCCUAACAAAUUUGGAUUAUUUGCAAUAGUCAUACUUCUUAGGUUAGGUGGCUUUAUAUUCUCAAGAGGUACACUUUCAAUAGAUGUAAUGAUGUUUUUAUUUUUCAAGUUAUGUAACCUUAUUAUAUAGUUUUUUUCCCUUUUGAUUUCUUCUUGAAUUGAAACUGAUAAUAUUAAGAAAUGAUGGAUGUGUGCAUAGAAGGCAAUGAUAGAUGUCAACUGUUGUGACAUAUGCAUUGCUGCCAUUAUCUUAGUUCCAAUAUCAAUUAUUAGAAGUUAUUUAUUUUGUUUAUCAUGUCACAUGACAGGUAUUUCCUGUUGCUCAAAAGGAAUUUUGUGGAUUCAAUCCUUUUACAAGUAUGAACUCUCUCUCAUCUCUGGUCUUGAACUUGUUUGAGCGAGCUUGAAUACCCACUUUUCCUUUAUUCCUCGUAUCUCUUCCUUUAUUUUGGGUGCAAAAUAUACUAAACUGACGUGUUCAUGUUGUGCAGCAUUUGUGUGCUAUAGAAUUAUUUUAUANNNNNNNNNNNNNNNNNNNNNNNNNNUCUACACAAACUUAUAAGCUAUGUGGUUUGGUACAUCUCUCACUCUUCAUUCUCAAACAUAGGAAAUUCACACAAAGGUUCAAGUUAUUGACAUCUAUCUAGUCUCUUUUUAAUCCACACAAAGGUAAGCUCAAAUAUGCCUAUUUUGUCAAAUAACUUAUAAAAAUUAGUUUUGAUAAUAAUGUCUGUCUUGUAUUUGAUAACAUACCUUAAUUAAGAUAGUAAUGUGUUUACAAAUUAGUCUCAUCUGAUAUUUAGAUUUGGUUGGGUUGUUUAGUGUCAUGUUAUUUUGCAUUUGAAUUAUAUCUCUCAAUGCUACUACAUAUAUAGACCCUUAGUAAGUUGAUUAAUAUGUUUGAAUUAUAUCUUUCGUGAUUUUAGGCUUUACAAAAUGCUGCUUAUAAAGCUGAUUGGUAUGUUCUCAAUAUAGUGUGCAAUAUGUCACAAUCUACGGAAGUUGUUCAUGAGGUAAUUUUCCCCAAAUCCUAAGUAUUGUUGUCUCUUUUUAUGUAAACCUUUAUGUCACAAUCUAUUUAAAUUAGUUCACCUUUAAUGAACUUUUUCCUAACAGUGUUGGAAGAACUUCACAUGUCUAUAUAACUGGUUUAUAUAGAAUUGAAAGAGUUUGCAACUCUGCAUCAAUAUACUUUGUUGGAACUGAAGUUUUACAUUGACAAAAGUAUUUACUGACUAGACGUUCACAUUUGAUCAUAUUCAAUUUUAGAGCCAAAAGCAACAAAUAGUUAUGAGUGCAGCUAUUAUGUCAUGAUACACAUGUUGAACAUUGUAUCUACUGGUGUUGUUGGUUCAUGGACCUAAGUAAGUAAUAUAAUUUAUGUAUCAAGCUGUAUCAAUUGAUUAGUACUAUUGUUUAUCUAAUUGGUGUAAGAGAAAACAAGCUAUAGUACAUGACGAAAUUUGGAGACAGAUCUAAGUUUAAGUUUUUUUAUUCUUUUUGUCCAGGUACGGUUACAAUUUUAAUGAUAUGCAGUUGCCCCAGCACAUUAAGAAGGGAUAUGAAGUUUUUUCAAGACUUAGAAUAAUUCAUUAUUGUGUUGGUUCUCUCUGUGUUAGAAUUGUAAUUAGUUUGUAGUUAGUUACUUAUUUCUUCAUGAGUGAUAUUACCCCUUAAAUUAGUUUGUAAAUCUGUUCUUAUGUAAUUUAAAUUGGGGAAAUAAAUUACUCUCAUUUGGAUAUUUGGUUGGCAAAUGCAAAUCUACC